rnacentral:piRNA from 1 species
UGUGAUGGCACACGCUCUCAGGCUGAUUCC